rnacentral:lncRNA from 1 species
CUAUAUUUGCAUAAGUAUGGGACUAGAUUACACAAAACAACAUUGAUCACUGGAACUAAGCGCUUUCUGUUUACCACAGGCAAACAGCUCUUUCCAGUAGAAAAGAGCUGGGCUCCCUCACUGUUUCCUGGCACACGGCCUGUUGGUGACCUGCACACAGGAGCCCUCCAGUCAGUACUGAUUGAAUUACUCAAGGCUGCCUCUCUGCAAAGUUGAGUAGCUCAUGGUGCUCCCUUCCUUGGUGCAGACGGGCAGUUCAAACCACACAAACUCCAGCCUGUGGGAGAGGGAUCCUUCAUCCUGGAUGCGCCUGCCCUCUGCCCAGCCACUAUAAAAACCAGAGCCACGUGCCCCUUCUUUUGCUUGAGUGUGGGCCCUGCUGUCC